rnacentral:rRNA from 1 species
UACGAAGGUGGCAAGCGUUGUUCGGAUUUACUGGGCGUAAAGGGAGCGUAGGUGGUGCGGUAAGCCCUCCGGGAAAGCUUCAGGCUUAACCUGAAAAGGUCGGGGGGGACUGCCGACGCUAGAGGACGGGAGAGGAGCGCGGAAUUCCCGGUGUAGCGGUGAAAUGCGUAGAGAUCGGGAGGAAGGCCGGUGGCGAAGGCGGCGCUCUGGAACGUUUCUGACACUGAGGCUCGAAAGCGUGGGGAGCAAACAGG